rnacentral:rRNA from 1 species
UACGGAGGGUGCAAGCGUUGUCCGGAUUUAUUGGGUUUAAAGGGUGCGUAGGCGGCCUUAUAAGUCCGUGGUGAAAGCCAACAGCUCAACUGUUGAACUGCCAUGGAUACUGUAAGGCUUGAGUACAGACGAGGUAGGCGGAAUUGAUGGUGUAGCGGUGAAAUGCAUAGAUACCAUCAAGAACCCCGAUUGCGAAGGCAGCUUACUAGGCUGUAACUGACGCUGAGGUGCGAAAGCGUGGGGAGCAAACAGG